rnacentral:misc_RNA from 1 species
GAUGAAGAACGUAGCGAAAUGCGAUAAUUAAUGUGAAUUGCAGAAUUCCGUGAAUCAUCGAGUUUUUGAACGCAUAUUGCGCCCCUUGGUAUUCCGAGGGGCAUGCCUGUCCGAGCGUCAUUGCAACCCUUCAAGCACGGCUUGUGUGUUGGACGGCCGCCCCAGUGUGGGCGGGUCCCAAAUGCAGUGGCGGCGCCGCGAUCCGGGUGCUCGAGUGCAUGGAAACCACGCGCUCGUUAGGCCCCGUCGGGCGCCGGCCGACCUAAUUAUCUUCGUUCUGGUUGACCUCGGAUCAGGUAGGAAUACCCGCUGAACUUAAGCAUAUCAAUAAGCGGAGA